CCUGUCCAUACCUCCGUAUUUUGCAGCUCUAGAAACAGAGCUGUCUCUGAGAUUUUGAGGGGGGGAUGUCAGCUUCUGAAACCUUGUCCUGUGACAGAGUGGAGGUGGGCCCUGGGGACCUCAGACAGCUGCGGGGACGCUCUGGGUUCGUGCUGAGACCAGAGGAGUCCCUGCAGUGCCAUCCCCACCACGGGCUCUGGAAACAGCUGUUCCCCAAACUCCGGGAGACCAGGGGGAUGGGGGCCCCUCGAGCAUCCCGACGCCCACUUGGAGGAGACAGCAGGCUGGCGGGCAGGUGGUUGCGUGAAGGGCCUCCAAGGGGGACCGUUAUCAAUGCUCGUCCUGCACGUGAAGGCUUGGCAGCAGGGGUGUUGAACCCUCGGCGGGAGAGGAGGAGCCAACAAAGUCCAGUCCGUGAAAAACAGAUCUUGGCAAGCGGUCCUCUGCUCUCCAGCUGCCCCUCCCGCUCCAUCCCCGAAGGAUGCCCAGCCUGGUGCAUCUGGCUGGGCUCAGGGGGCCCCAGCGUUUUUCUUAUGGGACCAGAGUGCCAACAUUUCAGACUUGGCAGACCUACAGGCUGUGUUAAAACUACUCCGCCCUGCUGUGGUGGUGAGAAGGCGGUUACAAGGGUGUGGCUGUGUGCUAAUAAAACUUUAUUCACAAAAGAA